rnacentral:rRNA from 1 species
UGGGGGAUUUUGCACAAUGGGCGCAAGCCUGAUGCAGCGACGCCGCGUGAGGGAUGAAGGCCUUCGGGUUGUAAACCUCUUUCGCUGGGUUGAAAGGCCAUGCUUUGGGUGUGGUUGAUUUGAACUGGUAAAGAAGUACCGGCUAACUACGUGCCAGCAGCCGCGGUAAUACGUAGGGUACUAGCGUAGUCCGGAUUUAUUGGGCGUAAAGGGCUUGUAGGUGGUUUGUCGCGUCUGUCGUGAAAUCCUGUGGCUUAACCAUGGGCUUGCGGUGGGUACGGGCAGGCUUGAGUGCGGUAGGGGAGACUGGAAUUCCUGGUGUAGCGGUGGAAUGCGCAGAUAUCAGGAGGAACACCGGUGGCGAAGGCGGGUCUCUGGGCCGUUACUGACACUGAGGAGCGAAAGCGUGGGGAGCGAACAGG